UACGUAGGGGACAAGCGUUGUCCGGAAUUAUUGGGCGUAAAGGGCUCGUAGGCGGCCAACUAAGUCAGACGUGAAAUCCCUCAGCUUAACUGGGGAACUGCGUCUGAUACUGGAUGGCUUGGAUUCGGGAGAGGAAUGCGGAAUUCCAGGUGUAGCGGUGAAAUGCGUAGAUAUCUGGAGGAACACCGGUGGCGAAGGCGGCAUUCUGGACCGAUAUUGACGCUGAGGAGCGAAAGCCAGGGGAGCAAACGGG
rnacentral:rRNA from 1 species